UACGUAGGGAGCAAGCGUUGUUCGGAUUUACUGGGCGUAAAGGGCGCGUAGGCGGCGCGGUAAGUCACUUGUGAAAUCUCUGAGCUUAACUCAGAACGGCCAGGUGAUACUGCAGUGCUAGAGUGCAGAAGGGGCAAUCGGAAUUCUUGGUGUAGCGGUGAAAUGCGUAGAUAUCAAGAGGAACACCUGAGGUGAAGACGGGUUGCUGGGCUGACACUGACGCUGAGUGCGCGAAAGCCAGGGGAGCAAACGGG
rnacentral:rRNA from 1 species